AGCUUUGCGCAAUGGCAGUAUCAUAGCCAAUGAGGUUUAUCUGAGGCACGAUUAUUGCUAAUUAAAAAAGUGAUUGUUUUGUCCGGGAGUGGUGGCUCACACCUAUAAUCCCAGCGCUUUGGGAGUACAAAGUGGGAGGAUCACUUGAU
ensembl:snRNA U4 U4 spliceosomal RNA